CCUACGGGUGGCAGCAGUGAGGAAUAUUGGUCAAUGGCCGCAGGUCUGAACCAGCCAAGCCGCGUGCGGGAUGACGGUUCUAUGGAUUGUAAACUUCUUUUGUACGGGAGUAAACGCCGCCACGUGUGGCGCUUUGCGAGUAUCUGACGAAAAAGCAUCGGCUAACUCCGUGCCAGCAGCCGCGGUAAUACGGAGGAUGCGAGCGUUAUCCGGAUUUAUUGGGUUUAAAGGGUGCGUGGGCGGAAGGUCAAGUGAGAGGUAAAAUUUCGGGGCUCAACCCCGUCGUGCCGUUGAAACUGGCGUUCUAGAGAAAACGAGAGGUAGGCGGAAUGCGUGGUGUAGCGGUGAAAUGCAUAGAGAUCACGCAGAACUCCGAUUGCGAAGGCAGCAUACC
rnacentral:rRNA from 1 species